UGGGGGGUACUGCCUGCCCAGUGAACUCAUUCAACGGCCGCGGUACCCUGACCGUGCAAAGGUAGCACAAUGACUAGUCUCCUAACUAGGGACCAGUAUCAACGGCAAGACGAGGGCCUGACUGUCUCCUCUCCUAAAAAACUAAACUUCUCUAGUCGUGCAAAAGCGACCAUAACAGCGCAAGACGAGAAGACCCUAUCGAGCUUCAGAGGCCAGAACAGAAAUACACCCCCGGCACACCUAACCCCGAUUACCCGACAAACCCCUUUCCCCCAUUCACCCCCCUCUUUGGUUGGGGCAACCGCGAAGAACACCCACCCUCCGCACUGACAAUCCACGAUUCCAAAUCAAAAAUUACAACCUCUAACACACUCUGACCCAAACAAUUUGAUCAUCGAACCAAGUUACCGUAGGGAUAACAGCGUAAUCCCUUCCAAGAGUUCACAUUGACGAAGGGGUUUGCGACCUCGAUGUUGGAUCGGGUCAUCCUGAUGGUGCAGACGCUAUCAAGGGUUGGUCUGUUC
rnacentral:rRNA from 1 species